GUUUCAUCGAAAAGACACGAAUCAGAGUAGCUUCAAUCUUCAUCCCGUUCAUAUACACAUAGUAUCCAAUCGUGAUUCAAUCAAUCGAGCAAUUCGCACUCUCUCGUCGUCAAAGUACUAGGAAGAGAAACGACGCAAGCGAAGCGACGAAGAGGCAAAGGUGAAAAAUUCAGAGACGAAGAAGAUUGAUGCCUAGGUUUUUUCCACCGCAUCGAAUCCGAUCUUAAUGAGCAUCCAAGACAAAAAGGGAUAAAAAAUAAGCAAAAUAAGGCAAAAGAUAAAAAAAUCAAGUUUUUCUCAUAGUAAAACCAGAAGGCUGCUACGACCACCUGUAGCAGCAAAGGUGCUUAGGGUUCCCAUGAUGCAUUCUCCAGUAAAAUUAGCAGGGACCUGCUACGACCACCUGUAGCAGUUGCUACGGGUCGUAGCAUGAGGGCGAGGACAAAUUAUUUUGUUUCCUUUUUUAGAUUGAUCCUCAAUAGUUAUGGAUCUUAGGAAUUAUUUGAUUUGAUAUUAUUCUAAUGUAAUAUGAAAUCAACCAAAUAUAUUGUGCUACUUUUAGUUUUUCUAUAAAACUCAUAGCCUGUUAUGAGUCUUGGAUUAAGGUUUUAUUCUACAAGGUUUCUACAUAUUUCUUAUUUUCCUCUGUACUCAAUUCUCCAAGGGAGAAAGAUUGGAUCAAUUCUUAAUUUAAAUAAGGUUUUCUUA